GUCACAUCAUGUUCAAACACUGAUUCCCAUAUAAUCACCAAAGUUAAGCAACAUCGAGCCUGGUCAGUAUCUAGAUAGGUGACUGCUUGGGAACACUAGGUGCUGUAA